UACGGGGGGGGCAAGCGUUGUUCGGAAUUACUGGGCGUAAAGGGCUUGUAGGCGGCCAACUAAGUCAGACGUGAAAUCCCUAGGCUCAACCUGGGAACUGCGUCUGAUACUGGAUGGCUUGAAUUCGGGAGAGGGAUGCAGAAUUCCAGGUGUAGCGGUGAAAUGCGUAGAUAUCUGGAGGAAUACCGGUGGCGAAGGCGGCAUCCUGGACCGACAUUGACGCUGAUGAGCGAAAGCCAGGGGAGCAAACGGG
rnacentral:rRNA from 1 species